rnacentral:lncRNA from 1 species
GAGAGAGCAACCUGUCGGGUUGAUAGAAAUAGAGAAAUUGUGAGGAAAAUUGAUAGUGUGUAAAAACAACUUCAUUUUUCAUUUUUGAGUACUUAAUUAAAUUGUUUGUCAUCCGAUUUAAGCUAUUUCAUUCAUUUUGAUAUAGGAUAGAAGAUAGAGCCUAAAUUCUGGAAAACAACACAAAAACAGUAGAUUUCGUGAAGAAACUAUUAGUCAUGGUAUAAGUCUCGAUCAAGGCUUAAACUCUGCAGUAACAACAGACUUUGGCUCGCACACAAUGAAGCCUUGAGCAAGGCUAAUGCAUCAUAAAGGACGACAGGUCUGAGGUACACCCAACUGAACCUCGACAUAUGCAGCAACAGAUUUGAAAAAAAGGCACCCUUUCGAAUUAAAACAAGAAAUCACGUUGCACCUAGAAGAGAAAACUAAGAAUCAAGAAAGAGAUGGUUUUGGAAAGCAUGAAGGAAGCCGAUAUCAUUGGGAAAGAUCCCUAUCUUUGCAAAAACAAAACCCUAAUCCUCUCGGGUUUAAAAGGAGUAAAAAAUUAUAGAACAAGGCAUCUUGGCCACCGUGUACUGCAACAUUUACAGCUUUCUGAAAUUUCCUUCCUUCUCUUUUGAAUAGUCAUAAAACUCUAUUCUGUACUAAGACGACCAU